UACGGAGGAAACGUUUCGCUACGACGCAGACACAUUGAAGCUUAAGGAAAAACUUGACUUGGUGCAGGAGCAAAUAAGCGAAAAGCAAUAUGAUAUACAAUUGUCGAAUGAUAAGACUGCCACCGUGGAAAAAGAAUUGGCCUGGAACAUAAAGCAAUACGACGAAGAAUUAAAAUUUUGUCCGACGGAAUUGAAGAUCAGCGUAAUCUGAUAGAUCGAUUGAGAUUGGAUAAUCAAACAGAAAUGUCGGGAAAA